GCCAGACUCCUACGGGAGGCAGCAGUGGGGGAUAUUGCACAAUGGGGGGAACCCUGAUGCAGCGACGCCGCGUGGGUGAAGAAGUAUUUCGGUAUGUAAAGCCCUAUCGGCAGGGAAGAAAUUGGACGGUACCUGACUAAGAAGCCCCGGCUAACUACGUGCCAGCAGCCGCGGUAAUACGUAGGGGGCAAGCGUUAUCCGGAUUCACUGGGUGUAAAGGGAGCGUAGACGGCCAUGCAAGCCUGGAGUGAAAGCCCGGGGCCCAACCCCGGGACUGCUCUGGGAACUGUGCGGCUGGAGUGCGGGAGGGGCAGGCGGAAUUCCUGGUGUAGCGGUGAAAUGCGUAGAUAUCAGGAGGAACACCGGCGGCGAAGGCGGCCUGCUGGACCGCGACUGACGUUGAGGCUCGAAAGCGUGGGGAGCAAACAGGAUUAGAUACCCUCGUAA
rnacentral:rRNA from 1 species